UUGGCUAGUGAAGCUCAACUGUUGAUUUGUAAUAUUACAUAUAUCAGAUGCCAAGUACAAAGUUAAAACUUGUAGCAAUUCUUAAUAAGAUCCAUAACUAGAAUCAGAAGGACUUGGUAAUACUGUGAAAAUAAUCACUCUUUCAAUUUCGUAGUCUGCGCCAUUCUUCAAUGAGCAUGCAUCAUUGACAAAUUGCACUACUUGGAAGUUGGAAC
rnacentral:lncRNA from 1 species